rnacentral:rRNA from 1 species
UACGAAGGGGGCUAGCGUUGUUCGGAUUUACUGGGCGUAAAGCGCACGUAGGCGGCUAGUUAAGUGAGGGGUGAAAUCCCAGGGCUCAACCCUGGAACUGCCUUUCAUACUGGCUAUCUAGAGUCCGGAAGAGGUGAGUGGAACUCCUAGUGUAGAGGUGGAAUUCGUAGAUAUUAGGAAGAACACCAGUGGCGAAGGCGGCUCACUGGUCCGGUACUGACGCUGAGGUGCGAAAGCGUGGGGAGCAAACAGG